AAUCAAGGUCACAAUGAUCGGAAAUGGCGUCGUCGGGAUCCUCGCCGAGACGGUGAACGUCUGGGAGAGGAGAACACCGCUCGCCCCGUCCCACUGCGCCCGGCUUCUCCACAGCACCACCAAUAGCGCCACCGAAGUGCGCCGCAUCAUCGUGCAGCCCAGCACCAAACGUAUUUACCAUGACGAGCUCUACGAAGAUGUCGGAUGCGAGGUUUCGGACGAUCUCUCCGACUGCGGGCUCAUCGUCGGGAUCAAGCAGCCCAAGUUGGAAAUGAUACUUCCUGAUCGAGCAUACGCCUUCUUCUCCCACACCCACAAGGCUCAGAGCGAAAACAUGUCCUUAUUAGACAAGAUUCUCGCGGAGAGGGCAUCUUUGUAUGACUAUGAGCUCAUAGUUGGAGAUGAUGGGAAACGACUUCUUGCCUUUGGGAAGUUCGCUGGUAGAGCUGGACUGAUCGACUUCUUGCACGGGCUUGGAAAGAGGUACUUGAAUCUUGGGUUUUCAACCCCUUUCUUGUCGUUGGGGGCUUCUCAUAUGUAUUCUUCACUUGCCGCCGCCAAGGCUGCAGUAAUUGCUGUUGGUGAAGAAAUUGCCACGUGUGGAUUGCCGUCUGGAAUUUGUCCUAUUGUUUUCGUGUUCACCGGAAAUGGAAAUGU
rnacentral:misc_RNA from 1 species